CUACCUAUAGACAACUACAGAAUCUGAGGCUUAGUGUGACUUUUUUUUAAGACUCCCCACUCUCAUCUGAUAGAUGGUGAAUUACUAAUCCACGAAAUGGGCGAUUAUCUUGCAAAUUUCAGUUCUGCAAAAUCAGCAAAGAAUGUUACAUUGUCCUGGCACAUUCAGCUGGCUCAAGGAGAAAACGAAUAUUAGACUAUAUGUGGUAUAUUUUCAUUAUUUCUCCAGAAACUUUUAGUUCAUUAUCAAAGACUCAAUCAACCCUUUAUUUUUCAGCAGCAGGGUGUGAAAUUGUUCUGUAAUGUGUAAUUAUAAAAUUGAACCAGCCUAGUGUGUGAAUAUAUCUUAAUCUUACAUAACCUCAAGAAAAGGGAAAAAGUCAGAAACUUACUGGGAAAAGGCUAGUUGAGGAUGUACCAGGUGAAAACAACUCAUGAUUAUUUACAUCACAGCCUUGAACACUUUGCAUGUUCCAUAAGUUAGGUUUCACUGUGAGAAAGGGGACAGCGGGCUGGG
rnacentral:lncRNA from 1 species